rnacentral:tRNA from 1 species
GUGAAAGUAGCUUAAUGGGUAAAGCUUCUGAUUGUGAAUCAGAUAGAUGCCGGAUCAUCCCCGGUCUUUCACCCCA